CCUGUCCCAAGGCGGUGCUGUUCUAGGCUGGCGGUGUUCCUAGGGUCAGUACAUGAAAGCCCUGGUAUUGUCUUCCAACUUUCUUUUUUAACAGCUAAGGAACGGUAUUCCACAGAGCUAUAGGCAGGAUGGGGCCUGUCUGUCUAUGCGAUUUGUCCAUAAACAUCAGCUGUCUUAAACAAAAGCGGCCCCAAUGCCACCAGUGUAGUGACCCAGCCAACCCUUCUACCCGCUAGAGAGGGUCAAAUGGUCAAGUUGUAUUGUACCUGCUGUAUUUUUCCUCCAAUCAAAAAUCAAACUUAAUUUUGUCACAUGCGUUGAAUAAGUGUAGGCUUUACUGUGAAAUUCUUUACUCACCGAGUCAAUGUGGAGGCUAUAUACAGGGUAUUACGGUACAGAGUCAAUGUGGAGGCUAUAUACAGGGUAUUACGGUACAGAGUCCAUGUGGAGGCUAUAUACAGGGUAUUACGGUACAGAGUCAAUGUAGAGGCUAUAUACAGGGUAUUACGGUACAGAGUCAAUGUGGAGGCUAUAUACAGGGUAUUACGGUACAGAGUCAAUGUGGAGGCUAUAUACAGGGUAUUACGGUACAGAGUCAAUGUGGAGGCUAUAUACAGGGUAUUACGGUACAGAGUCAAUGUGGAGGCUAUAUACAGGGUGUACCGGUACAGAGUCAAUGUGGAGGCUAUAUACAGGGUAUUACGGUACAGAGUCAAUGUAGAGGCUAUAUACAGGGGGUACCGGUACAGAGUCAAUGUGGAGGCUAUAUACAGGGUAUUACGGUACAGAGUCAAUGUAGAGGCUAUAUACAGGGUAUUACGGUACAGAGUCAAUGUGGAGGCUAUAUACAGGGUAUUACGGUACAGAGUCAAUGUGGAGGCUAUAUACAGGGUAUUACGGUACAGAGUCAAUGUGGAGGCUAUAUACAGGGUAUUACGGUACAGAGUCAAUGUGGAGGCUAUAUACAGGGGGUACCGGUACAGAGUCAAUGUGGAGGCUAUAUACAGGGUAUUACGGUACAGAGUCAAUGUGGAGGCUAUAUACAGGGUAUUACGGUACAGAGUCAAUGUGGAGGCUAUAUACAGGGUAUUACGGUACAGAGUCAAUGUGGAGGCUAUAUACAGGGUAUUACGGUACAGAGUCAAUGUGGAGGCUAUAUACAGGGUAUUACGGUACAGAGUCAAUGUGGAGGCUAUAUACAGGGGGCACCGGUACAGAGUCAAUGUGGAGGCUAUAUACAGGGGGUACCGGUACAGAGUCAAUGUGGAGGCUAUAUACAGGGUAUUACGGUACAGAGUCAAUGUGGAGGCUAUAUACAGGGUAUUACGGUACAGAGUCAAUGUGGAGGCUAUAUACAGGGUAUUACGGUACAGAGUCAAUGUAGAGGCUAUAUACAGGGUAUUACGGUACAGAGUCAAUGUGGAGGCUAUAUACAGGGUAUUACGGUACAGAGUCAAUGUGGAGGCUAUAUACAGGGUAUUACGGUACAGAGUCAAUGUGGAGGCUAUAUACAGGGUAUUACGGUACAGAGUCAAUGUGGAGGCUAUAUACAGGGUAUUACGGUACAGAGUCAAUGUGGAGGCUAUAUACAGGUUAUUACGGUACAGAGUCAAUGUGGAGGCUAUAUACAGGGUAUUACGGUACAGAGUCAAUGUGGAGGCUAUAUACAGGGUAUUAACGGUACAGAGUCAAUGUGGAGGCUAUAUACAGGGUAUUACGGUACAAUGUGGAGACUAUAUACAGGGUAUUACGGUACAGAGUCAAUGUGGAGGCUAUAUACAGGGUAUUACGGUACAGAGUCAAUGUGGAGGCUAUAUACAGGGUAUUACGGUACAGAGUCAAUGUGGAGGCUAUACACAGGGUAUUACGGUACAGAGUCAAUGUGGAGACUAUAUACAGGGUAUUACGGUACAGAGUCAAUGUGGAGGCUAUAUACAGGGUAUUACGGUACAGAGUCAAUGUGGAGGCUAUAUACAGGGUAUUACGGUACAGAGUCAAUGUGGAGGCUAUAUACAGGGUAUUACGGUACAGAGUCAAUGUGGAGGCUAUAUACAGGGUAUUACGGUACAGAGUCAAUGUGGAGGCUAUAUACAGGGGGUACUAGUACAGAGUCAAUGUGGAGGCUAUAUACAGGGGUACCGGUACAGAGUCAAUGUGGAAACUAUAUACAGGGGGUACCGGUACAGAGUCAAUGUGGAGGCUAUAUACAGGGGGUACCGGUACAGAGUCAAUGUGGAGGCUAUAUACAGGGUAUUACGGUACAGAGUCAAUGUGGAGGCUAUAUACAGGGUAUUACGGUACAGAGUCCAUGUGGAGGCUAUAUACAGGGUAUUACGGUACAGAGUCAAUGUAGAGGCUAUAUACAGGGUAUUACGGUACAGAGUCAAUGUGGAGGCUAUAUACAGGGUAUUACGGUACAGAGUCAAUGUGGAGGCUAUAUACAGGGUAUUACGGUACAGAGUCAAUGUGGAGGCUAUAUACAGGGUAUUACGGUACAGAGUCAAUGUGGAGGCUAUAUACAGGGUGUACCGGUACAGAGUCAAUGUGGAGGCUAUAUACAGGGUAUUACGGUACAGAGUCAAUGUAGAGGCUAUAUACAGGGGGUACCGGUACAGAGUCAAUGUGGAGGCUAUAUACAGGGUAUUACGGUACAGAGUCAAUGUAGAGGCUAUAUACAGGGUAUUACGGUACAGAGUCAAUGUGGAGGCUAUAUACAGGGUAUUACGGUACAGAGUCAAUGUGGAGGCUAUAUACAGGGUAUUACGGUACAGAGUCAAUGUGGAGGCUAUAUACAGGGUAUUACGGUACAGAGUCAAUGUGGAGGCUAUAUACAGGGGGUACCGGUACAGAGUCAAUGUGGAGGCUAUAUACAGGGUAUUACGGUACAGAGUCAAUGUGGAGGCUAUAUACAGGGUAUUACGGUACAGAGUCAAUGUGGAGGCUAUAUACAGGGUAUUACGGUACAGAGUCAAUGUGGAGGCUAUAUACAGGGUAUUACGGUACAGAGUCAAUGUGGAGGCUAUAUACAGGGUAUUACGGUACAGAGUCAAUGUGGAGGCUAUAUACAGGGGGCACCGGUACAGAGUCAAUGUGGAGGCUAUAUACAGGGGGUACCGGUACAGAGUCAAUGUGGAGGCUAUAUACAGGGUAUUACGGUACAGAGUCAAUGUGGAGGCUAUACGUACGGUACAGAGUCAAUGUGGAGGCUAUAUACAGGGUAUUACGGUACAGAGUCAAUGUAGAGGCUAUAUACAGGGUAUUACGGUACAGAGUCAAUGUGGAGGCUAUAUACAGGGUAUUACGGUACAGAGUCAAUGUGGAGGCUAUAUACAGGGUAUUACGGUACAGAGUCAAUGUGGAGGCUAUAUACAGGGUAUUACGGUACAGAGUCAAUGUGGAGGCUAUAUACAGGGUAUUACGGUACAGAGUCAAUGUGGAGGCUAUAUACAGGGUAUUACGGUACAGAGUCAAUGUGGAGGCUAUAUACAGGGUAUUACGGUACAGAGUCAAUGUGGAGGCUAUAUACAGGGUAUUACGGUACAGAGUCAAUGUGGAGGCUAUAUACAGGGUAUUACGGUACAAUGUGGAGGACUAUAUACAGGGUAUUACGGUACAGAGUCAAUGUGGAGGCUAUAUACAGGGUAUUACGGUACAGAGUCAAUGUGGAGGCUAUAUACAGGGUAUUACGGUACAGAGUCAAUGUGGAGGCUAUACACAGGGUAUUACGGUACAGAGUCAAUGUGGAGACUAUAUACAGGGUAUUACGGUACAGAGUCAAUGUGGAGGCUAUAUACAGGGUAUUACGGUACAGAGUCAAUGUGGAGGCUAUAUACAGGGUAUUACGGUACAGAGUCAAUGUGGAGGCUAUAUACAGGGUAUUACGGUACAGAGUCAAUGUGGAGGCUAUAUACAGGGUAUUACGGUACAGAGUCAAUGUGGAGGCUAUAUACAGGGGGUACUAGUACAGAGUCAAUGUGGAGGCUAUAUACAGGGGGUACCGGUACAGAGUCAAUGUGGAAACUAUAUACAGGGGGUACCGGUACAGAGUCAAUGUGGAGGCUAUAUACAGGGGGUACCGGUACAGAGUCAAAUGUGGAGGCUAUAUACAGGGGGUACCGGUACAGAGUCAAUGUGGAGGCUAUAUACAGGGGGUACCGGUACAGAGUCAAUGUGGAGGCUAUAUACAGGGUAUUACGGUACAGAGUCAAUGUGGAGGCUAUAUACAGGGUAUUACGGUACAGAGUCAAUGUGGAGGCUAUAUACAGGGUAUUACGGUACAGAGUCAAUGUGGAGGCUAUAUACAGGGGGUACCGGUACAGAGUCAAUGUGGAGGCUAUAUACAGGGUAUUACGGUACAGAGUCAAUGUGGAGGCUAUAUACAGGGGGCACCGGUACAGAGUCAAUGUGGAGGCUAUAUACAGGGGGUACCGGUACAGAGUCAAUGUGGAGGCUAUAUACAGGGUAUUACGGUACAGAGUCAAUGUGGAGGCUAUAUACAGGGUAUUACGGUACAGAGUCAAUGUGGAGGCUAUAUACAGGGGGUACCGGUACAGAGUCAAUGUGGAGGCUAUAUACAGGGUAUUACGGUACAGAGUCAAUGUGGAGGCUAUAUACAGGGUGUUACGGUACAGAGUCAAUGUGGAGGCUAUAUACAGGGUAUUACGGUACAGAGUCAAUGUGGAGGCUAUAUACAGGGGGUACCGGUACAGAGUCAAUGUGGAGGCUAUAUACAGGGUAUUACGGUACAGAGUCAAUGUAGAGGCUAUAUACAGGGUAUUACGGUACAGAGUCAAUGUGGAGGCUAUAUACAGGGUAUUACGGUACAGAGUCAAUGUGGAGGCUAUAUACAGGGUAUUACGGUACAGAGUCAAUGUGGAGGCUAUAUACAGGGUAUUACGGUACAGAGUCAAUGUGGAGGCUAUAUACAGGGGGUACCGGUACAGAGUCAAUGUGGAGGCUAUAUACAGGGUAUUACGGUACAGAGUCAAUGUAGAGGCUAUAUACAGGGUAUUACGGUACAGAGUCAAUGUGGAGGCUAUAUACAGGGUAUUACGGUACAGAGUCAAUGUGGAGACUAUAUACAGGGUAUUACGGUACAGAGUCAAUGUGGAGGCUAUAUACAGGGUAUUACGGUACAGAGUCAAUGUGGAGGCUAUAUACAGGGUAUUACGGUACAGAGUCAAUGUGGAGGCUAUAUACAGGGAAUUACGGUACAGAGUCAAUGUGGAGGCUAUAUACAUGGGGUACCGGUACAGAGUCAAUGUGGAGGCUAUAUACAGGGUAUUACGGUACAGAGUCAAUGUGGAGGCUAUAUACAGGGUGUUACGGUACAGAGUCAAUGUGGAGGCUAUAUACAGGGUAUUACGGUACUGAGUCAAUGUGGAGGCUAUACACAGGGUAUUACGGUACAGAGUCAAUGUGGAGACUAUAUACAGGGUAUUACGGUACAGAGUCAAUGUGGAGGCUAUAUACAGGGUAUUACGGUACAGAGUCAAUGUGGAGGCUAUAUACAGGGUAUUACGGUACAGAGUCAAUGUGGAGGCUAUAUACAGGGUAUUACGGUACAGAGUCAAUGUGGAGGCUAUAUACAGGGUAUUACGGUACAGAGUCAAUGUGGAGGCUAUAUACAGGGGGUACUAGUACAGAGUCAAUGUGGAGGCUAUAUACAGGGGUACCGGUACAGAGUCAAUGUGGAGGCUAUAUACAGGGUAUUACGGUACAGAGUCAGCGUGGAGGCUAUAUACAGGGGGUACAGAGUCAGCGUGGAGGCUAUAUACAGGGGGUACAGAGUCAGCGUGGAGGCUAUAUACAAGGGGUACAGAUUCAGCGUGGAGGCUAUAUACAGGGGGUACAGAUUCAGCGUGGAGGCUAUAUACAGGGGGUACAGAGUCAGCGUGGAGGCUAUAUACAGGGUAUUACGGUACAGAGUCAGCGUGGAGGCUAUAUACAGGGGGUACAGAGUCAGCGUGGAGGCUAUAUACAGGGGGUACAGAGUCAGCGUGGAGGCUAUAUACAGGGUAUUACGGUACAGAGUCAAUGUGGAGGCUAUAUACAGGGGGUACAGAGUCAGCAUGGAGGCUAUAUACAGGGGGUACAGAGUCAGCGUGGAGGCUAUAUACAGGGGGUACAGAGUCAGCGUGGAGGCUAUAUACAGGGGGUACAGAGUCAGCGUGGAGGCUAUAUACAGGGGGUACAGAGUCAGCGUGGAGGCUAUAUACAGAGGGUACAGAGUCAGCGUGGAGGCUAUAUACAGGGGGGUACAGAGUCAGCGUGGAGGCUAUAUACAGGGUAUUACGGUACAGAGUCAAUGUGGAGGCUAUAUACAGGGGGUACAGAGUCAGCAUGGAGGCUAUAUACAGGGGGUACAGAGUCAGUGUGGAGGCUAUAUACAGGGGGUACAGAGUCAGCGUGGAGGCUAUAUACAGGGGGUACAGAGUCAGCGUGGAGGCUAUAUACAGGGGGUACCGAGUCAGCGUGGAGGCUAUAUACAGGGGGUACAGAGUCAGCGUGGAGGCUAUAUACAGAGGGUACAGAGUCAGCGUGGAGGCUAUAUACAGGGGGUACCGAGGCAGCGUAGCCUAGUGGUUAGAGCGUUGGACUAGUAACCGGAAGGUUGCGAGUUCAAACCCCCGAGCUGACAAGGUACAAAUCUGUCGUUCUGCCCCUGAACAUGCAGUUAACCCACUGUUCCCAGGCCGUCAUUGAAAAUAAGAAUUUGUUCUUAACUGACUUGCCUGGGGUAAAUAAAGGUAAAAAAAAAAAUAUAUAUAUAUAUAUAUAUACAGGGGGUACCGAGCCAGUGUACAGGUUAGGUAAUUUGUACAUGUAGGUGGGGGUGAAGUGACUCAGCAUAGAUACUAAACAGUGAGUAUUAAUUGUUAAGCAGUCUUAAUACCUUUAGGGUAGAAGCUGUUAAGGAGCCUUUUGUUCCUAGACUUGGCGCUCCUGUACUGCUUACCGUGCAGUAGCAGAAAGAACAGUCUAUAACUUGGGUGACUGGAGUCUCUGACAAUGUUAUCAGCUUUCCUCUGACACUGCAUAUUGUGUAGGUCCUGGAUGGCAGGUAGCUUGGCCCCAGUGAUGUACUGGCCCGUUCGUGCGAUGCCGAGCAGUUGCCAUACCAGGCGGCGGUGAUGCAACCAACCGGAUGCUUUCGAAGGUGCAGCUGUAGAAACUUUUGAGGAUCUGGGGGCCAAAUUCCAAAUAUUUUCAGUCUUUUGAAGGGGAAUAGGAUUCUCUCGUGCCCUUUUCACUACUGCCCUGGUGUGUUUGGACCGUGGUGGUUAGUAGGUGAUGUGGACACCAAGGAACUUGAAACUCUCGACCCGCUCCACUUUAGCCCCUUCGGGGUUAAUGGGGGCCUGUUCGGCCCUCCUUUUCCUGUAGUUCACGAUCAGCUCCUUUGUCUUGCUCACAUUGAGGUAGAGGUUGUCUCUGACCUCCUCCCUAUAAGCUGUCUCAUCGUUGUCAG
rnacentral:lncRNA from 1 species